rnacentral:rRNA from 1 species
AUUGAACGCUGGCGGCAUGCCUUACACAUGCAAGUCGAACGGCAACACGGGUGCUUGCACCUGGUGGCGAGUGGCGAACGGGUGAGUAAUACAUCGGAACGUACCUUAUCGUGGGGGAUAACGCAGCGAGAGCUGUGCUAAUACCGCAUACGCCCUGAGGGGGAAAGCGGGGGAUCGCAAGACCUCGCGCGAUUAGAGCGGCCGAUGCCUGAUUAGCUUGUUGGUGGGGUAAAAGCCCACCAAGGCGACGAUCAGUAGCUGGUCUGAGAGGACGAUAAGCCACACUGGGACCGAGAAACGGCCCAGACUCCUACGGGAGGAAGCAGUGGGGAAUUUUGGACAAUGGGGGCAACCCUGAUCCAGCAAUGCCGCGUGAGUGAAGAAGGCCUUCGGGUUGUAAAGCUCUUUUGUCAGGGAAGAAACACCGGCUCUAACACAGUCCGGGAAUGACGGUACCUGAAGAAUAAGCACCGGCUAACUACGUGCCAGCCGCCGCAGUAA